AACACGAGGGGAUUUACAGCUGCGAGCGCAGCGAUGACGAGGAGACGUACGUGACCAACACUCCUCUGAAGAUAGAGAGAGGAUUUCUGCAAAAUAAUGGAGCAGCUGUUGCUGUUGGCAUGCUUGUAUUCAUUGUGAUUAUCGUUGCAGGCGUGCUUUACUGUAAAUAUAAAAUGAGGAACAAAAGAGCUAAGUCUGUGAAGAAAAAGCACGAGGCUGAAGCCCUGAACAACAAACAACAACAAGAUGCCCAACAACCUCAUCAAGGUCCCUGUGACCUGACAUCUGUCUAAUUUUUCAAA